rnacentral:rRNA from 1 species
AUUGAACGCUGGCGGCAGGCCUAACACAUGCAAGUCGAGCGAGCGGCGGACGGGUGAGUAAUGUCUGGGAAACUGCCUGAUGGAGGGGGAUAACUACUGGAAACGGUAGCUAAUACCGCAUACCAUCAGAUGUGCCCAGAUGGGAUUAGCUGGUAGGUGGGGUAACGGCUCACCUAGGCGACGAUCCCUCGCUGGUCUGAGAGGAUGACCAGCCACUCGGGGACUGGUGCACGGUCCAGACUCCUACGGGGGGCAGCAGGGGGGAAUUUUGCACAAUGGGCGCAAGCCUGAUGCAGCCAUGCCGCGGUUGGGAAGAAGGCCUUCGGGUUGUAAAGCACUUUCAGCGGGGAGGCGUUACCCGCAGAAGAAGCACCGGCUAACUCCGUGCCAGCAGCCGCGGUAAUUC